GUCUCUGUGGAACAAUCAACAGAGCAUUCAGCUGCUGACAGAAAGGUUGGUGGUUUGAGCCCACCCAGGAACA
rnacentral:tRNA from 1 species